rnacentral:rRNA from 1 species
AGCAGCCGCGGUAAUUCCAGCUCCAAUAGCGUAUAUUAAAGUUGUUGCAGUUAAAAAGCUCGUAGUUGAAUUUCGGGAUCAAUUUGUUGGUCGUGCCUCGGUACGUACUGGCAUUAUUGGUUUCUACCUUCUGAAGAACCUUGAUGUCAUUAAUUUGGUGUCUUGGGGAAUCAGGACUGUUACUUUGAAAAAUUAGAGUGUUUAAAGCAGGCAUACGCUUGAAUACAUUAGCAUGGAAUAAUGAAAUAGGACGUUUGAUUCUAUUUUGUUGGUUUCUAGGAUCGACGUAAUGAUUAAUAGGGAUAGUUGGGGGCAUUAGUAUUCAAUUGUCAGAGGUGAAAUUCUUGGAUUUAUUGAAGACUAACUACUGCGAAAGCAUUUGCCAAGGAUGUUUUCAUUAAUCAAGAACGAAAGUUAGGGGAUCGAAGACGAUCAGAUACCGUCGUAGUCUUAAACCAUAAACUAUGCCGACUAGGGAUCGGAUGAUGUUAUUUUUAAUGACUCAUUCGGCGCCUUAAC